CUGGUUAGUUGCUCUUCUUGGCAUGGAACUGGCACGCUUCACAGGUCCUGACUAAUUGCUCGGCAUCGGCUAGUGUAACAUCCCAAAAUUUCAAACCUUUACAUGAGCAUUGCAUUCAUAAACAUCAUGCCACAAUUGCAUAUUUGAAUUCAAAUUUUGAAUCUCAAAAGGCUUUGGAAAGAUUCUUUAUUUCAUUUUAAACCCUAGGGUUUACACCCAUUUGAGCUUUGGAUCUUCAAACCAUUAAAGUUUAUAUAUAAAAGGGGUUUAGUGCACAUAUGAGCUAUCCCAUAAUUUUUGGAUAAUUGUUUGGAGUUGAAAAAAAGUAUUUUAUUUAAACAGAUAUAUGGCCCUAAAGGCAUUUACAGAGCAAAUGUAUUUUUACAUAUUUUAUUUUGAAGAGAAACUACUUCUAAAAGUUGUAUCUUGGUAGAACAUGAUUUUACAAAUUUUCUGGAAUUUGUUUGGACCAAUUUGGAGUUCAAACACAAAAGAUAUCAAAGAAAUGGGAAAACAGAAAAAGAAAAGGCCUAAAAGAAAAAAAAAAGGUAAACCGGACCGGCCCGGCCAAAAUGGGCCGAACCGGCCCAGUCCAACCGCGCCCGACCGGCCCAGACCGCUCGGUCCGCGCGCGCGCGCCCGCAGUCGCUGACAGGUGGGGUCCACCUGUGAGCUGCGUCUUCCCCGAAGGAAAGCGCCGCCGGUCACGCGCGCGAAUUCCGGCCGCCGUCCCCGCGCGCCCGCCGCCGCAAUCCGCUCCUCCGGCCUUCCUUUUUCACGCCCGAGCUCGUCUAUAUAACCCCC
rnacentral:lncRNA from 1 species